UGGGGAAUAUUGGACAAUGGGCGAAAGCCUGAUCCAGCCAUGCCGCGUGUGUGAAGAAGGUCUUCGGAUUGUAAAGCACUUUAAGUUGGGAGGAAGGGCAGUAAAUUAAUACUUUGCUGUUUUGACGUUACCGACAGAAUAAGCACCGGCUAACUCUGUGCCAGCAGCCGCGGUAAUACAGAGGGUGCAAGCGUUAAUCGGAAUUACUGGGCGUAAAGCGCGCGUAGGUGGUUCGUUAAGUUGGAUGUGAAAUCCCCGGGCUCAACC
rnacentral:rRNA from 1 species